UACGUAGGUGACAAGCGUUUGUCCGGAUUUACUGGGCGUAAAGAGCGCGCAGGCGGUCGAUCAAGUCGAGUGUGAAAGCCCCCGGCUCAACUGGGGAGGGUCAUUCGAUACUGAUCGACUCGAAGGCAGGAGAGGGUAGUGGAAUUCCCGGUGUAGUGGCGAAAAUGCGUAGAUAUCGGGGAGGAAACAACCCAGUGGGCGAAGGGCGACUACCUGGCCCUGUUCUUUGACGCUGAGGCGCGAAAAGCUAGGGGGAGCAAAACGGGG
rnacentral:rRNA from 1 species